AACGAACGCUGGCGGCAUGCCUAACACAUGCAAGUCGAACGAGACCUUCGGGUCUAGUGGCGCACGGGUGCGUAACGCGUGGGAAUCUACCCUCAGGUUCGGAAUAACUCAGAGAAAUUUUAGCUAAUACCGGAUGAUGACGUAAGUCCAAAGAUUUAUCGCCUGAGGAUGAGCCCGCUUAGGAUUAGGUAAUUGGUGAGGUAAAGGCUCACCAAGCCGACGAUCCUUAGCUGGUCUGAGAGGAUGAUCAGCCACACUGGGACUGAGACACGGCCCAGACUCCUACGGGAGGCAGCAGUGGGGAAUAUUGGACAAUGGGCGAAAGCCUGAUCCAGCAAUGCAGCGUGAGUGAUGAAGGCCUUAGGGUUGUAAAGCUCUUUUACCCGGGAUGAUAAUGACAGUACCGGGAGAAUAAGAUCCGGCUAACUCCGUG
rnacentral:rRNA from 1 species